AGUGAACGCUGGCGGUAGGCCUAACACAUGCAAGUCGAACGGCAGCACAGUAAGAGCUUGCUCUUACGGGUGGCGAGUGGCGGACGGGUGAGGAAUACAUCGGAAUCUACUUUUUCGUGGGGGAUAACGUAGGGAAACUUACGCUAAUACCGCAUACGACCUACGGGUGAAAGCAGGGGAUCUUCGGACCUUGCGCGAUUGAAUGAGCCGAUGUCGGAUUAGCUAGUUGGCGGGGUAAAGGCCCACCAAGGCGACGAUCCGUAGCUGGUCUGAGAGGAUGAUAAACCAAACGGGAACUGAGAAACGGUCCAAAACCCUAAGGGAGGCAGCAGGGGGGAAAAUUGGAAAAGGGGGGAAAGCCUAAUCCAGCCAAACCGGGGGGGGGAAGAAGGCCUUGGGGUUGUAAAGCCUUUUUGUUGGGAAAAAAAAGCAGCAGGUUAAUACCCCGCUGUUCUGACGGUACCAAAAAAAUAAGCACCGGAUAAAUUCGU
rnacentral:rRNA from 1 species